rnacentral:rRNA from 1 species
UACGAAGGGGGCUAGCGUUGUUCGGAUUUACUGGGCGUAAAGCGCGCGUAGGCGGGUCUUUAAGUCAGGGGUGAAAUCCUGGAGCUCAACUCCAGAACUGCCUUUGAUACUGAGGAUCUUGAGUUCGGGAGAGGUGAGUGGAACUGCGAGUGUAGAGGUGAAAUUCGUAGAUAUUCGCAAGAACACCAGUGGCGAAGGCGGCUCACUGGCCCGAUACUGACGCUGAGGCACGAAAGCGUGGGGAGCAAACAGG